rnacentral:rRNA from 1 species
CCAAACCGACUCAGGUGGUUAGGUAGAGAAUACCAAGGCGAUCGAGUGAAUCGUGGUUAAGGAAUUCGGCAAAAUACCCCCGUAACUUCGGGAGAAGGGGGGCCCAGAGGGUGACGGGACUUGCUCCCCGAGCCUGAACGGCCGCAGAGACCAGGGAGAAGCGACUGUUUACUAAAAACACAGGUCCGUGCCAAGUCGCAAGACGAUGUAUACGGACUGACGCCUGCCCGGUGCUGGAACGUUAAGGGGACCGGUUAGCCUCACGGCGAAGCUGAGAACUUAAGCGCCAGUAAACGGCGGUGGUAACUAUAACCAUCCUAAGGUAGCGAAAUUCCUUGUCGGGUAAGUUCCGACCUGCACGAAUGGCGUAACGACUUCUCCACUGUCUCAACCACGAACUCGGCGAAAUUGCACUACGAGUAAAGAUGCUCGUUACGCGCAGAAGGACGGAAAGACCCCGGGACCUUUACUACAGCUUGGUAUUGGUGUUCGGUACGGCUUGUGUAGGAUAGGUGGGAGACUGUGAAGCUGACACGCCAGUGUCGGUGGAGUCAACGUUGAAAUACCACUCUGGUCGUUCUGGAUAUCUAACCUAGGUCCGUAAUCCGGAUCAGGGACAGUGCCUGGUGGGUAGUUUAACUGGGGCGGUUGCCUCCUAAAAGGUAACGGAGGCGCCCAAAGGUUCCCUCAGCCUGGUUGGCAAUCAGGUUUCGAGUGUAAGUGCACAAGGGAGCUUGACUGUGAGACUGACAAGUCGAACAGGGACGAAAGUCGGGACUAGUGAUCCGGCGGUGGCUUGUGGAAGCGCCGUCGCUCAACGGAUAAAAGGUACCCCGGGGAUAACAGGCUGAUCUUGCCCAAGAGUCCAUAUCGACGGCAUGGUUUGGCACCUCGAUGUCGGCUCGUCGCAUCCUGGGGCUGGAGUAGGUCCCAAGGGUUGGGCUGUUCGCCCAUUAAAGCGGUACGCGAGCUGGGUUUAGAACGUCGUGAGACAGUUCGGUCCCUAUCCUCUGCGCGCGCAGGAAACUUGAGGAGGGCUGUCCCUAGUACGAGAGGACCGGGAUGGACGAACCUCUGGUGUGUCAGUUGUUCUGCCAAGAGCACCGCUGAUUAGCUACGUUCGGGAGUGAUAACCGCUGAAAGCAUCUAAGCGGGAAGCAUGCUUCAAGAUGAGGUUUCCAUGGGGUUUACCCCGAGAGGCUCCCAGCUAGACUACUGGGUUGAUAGGCCGGAUGUGGAAGUGCGGUAACGCAUGGAGCUGACCGGUACUAAUAAGCCGAUAACUC